AAGGAUCAUUAUAGUAUGGUUCGGAGGGGUUUGGAUGCUGGCUCCCCCGAGAGGGGGGGCAUCGUGCGCGCCCCUCCUUUCUUUCACAAUCCCACACACCUGUGCACCUCGGCGAGCGCCUCCCGUUUGGAGCCGUCCUGGCGUCGAAUCUCCCCCCGGGGAGAGGAGAGCCUUGACUGGGGCGUUCGACGCGUUCUUUUUUUACAUCCACGCCUGUCACAACGCAUGUCUUUGAUGCUCUACGGAGCAAAGUUGAAUACAACUUUCAGCAACGGAUCUCUUGGCUUUCGCAUCGAUGAAGAACGCCGCGAACGCGCGAAACGUAAUGUGAAUUGCAGAAUUCAGUGAAUCAUCGAAUCUUUGAACGCAUCUUGCGCUCCUUGGUAUUCCGAGGAGCAUGCCUGUUUGAGUGUCAUUCUUGGUGUAAACCAAAUCGACCCCUCCCCUUCUUGCCGGAAGCGGGGGGGUCGGACUUGGAUGCUUGCGGCCGGCGGGGGGUUUCUCCCCCAUUGGCCGCUCGUCUCGAAACGCAUUAGCUGGGGCCCUCCCUUCUUUGAGCCGGUCCGACGACGGUGUGAUAAUAGACACCUUGUUGACAUGUGGCGCCGUCAUGGCCCGGCCCGGAAUUCGUUUUGGGAANAGGGGGAGGGGUUCGCUUACGAGCCGUCCUUCGGGACAAAAGGCGGACCACCCUUUCUGGUGUUCCGCCACCUGACCUCAAAUCAGGUAGGACUACCCGCUGAACUUAA
rnacentral:rRNA from 1 species